rnacentral:RNase_P_RNA from 1 species
AGGAAGAGACGGGGCUCGCAAGAGAACCCAGGAAAGUCCGCCCACCAUCAAAAGGCAACUUCCAGAAGGAAGAUGGGGAAAUCCCAUGGCUCUGGCUCAGAAACGACACGUCCUGCGGAUAAAGGGAUGAUAUGGCGAAGCUUCGAGCGAUUGAAGUGAGUUCCUAAAUGAUCUGAAAAGAUCUCCAGGUAUAACCCGUUGACGUCUCCGCAGGGAACGAUGAAACGGCGAAACCUUACUGAAAGCAAGAAUUUCAGGGGCCCUGAAGAUUAUGGGCCUGGCCGGUGCAAGUCAGUAUGACGCUUAGUAGAAUACUUCCACGGAUCAUCGCAUUGCCAUCGCAAUGUUUGGGUCUUACAGAAGGCGGCUUACGGCGCUCUACUU